GCCCCUCCAUUGCUCACGAACAAUGUUUUAUUCUUCAAACUUGUUACUUUCUCCCAUCCAUCCAUUAUUUAUUGUGUAUCUCCAAACCUCUACCUCCCCUUCUUCGUGACAUAAAAAUACCGCGAACAUUCCCUUAUCGUCAGUAUCUUCUACGAUGUAAAUUCGUUGAAUUGAAUUUUAUUUUCGACGUCGACACCGAAAGAGCUUCCCAUAAAAUUUUCGACGUCGACACCGAAAUAGCUUCCCAUAAAAUUUCCAAGUAGGUUGUAGUUGACUUUUCGUUGAUGCUCAGUGUUGCCAAAUUUCCUUUAUCUCCCAGUAUGUAUAUAAUAUUUUUCUUUAUAAAAACCGCAUUAUUGCAUCCGUGUAAUUCAAAUAUUCUUUCGUUAUAUCCAUAUUCUGUAUAUUCUAUAUCAUUGGAAUAAUGAUAUGUCCAUGUAGUCUCUCCAACUUUGAUGAUGUAUAUAUCUGGAGGGGUACCAUAGGUGUCAAAACCAACGACAAAACAGCCUUCUGAGUCGGGAGGGCACGAAAAUGUCCAACAAGAGCAAAUAUUUUCUCUUUGCUCUAGAUCAGGGAGUUCAAUUAUGUCAUUGUCGAUAGCAUUGAAAAAGAACAUACCGCGAUUGCCAUGACUCAUGAGUAACCAACCAGCUUUUCAACUCCGAAUUCGGGAACCCUUUAAUUUUGAGAUACCCGGAUUAUGAGUAGUCACCACGUUAUACACGGGAUCAAAGAACUCUACAAUACCGGUUUUUUCAUGUAAGGUCAUCAAAUAAGGCAAUUGCAAAUCAUCAUGUAGCCGACGAGGCCGGUGUGAAGGAGGCAUCAAGGGCGCUAGCCGCCAUUGUUUACAAACGACACGAAAAACAAAGUAUUCACCAACAACGAGACGUGAUGCUAUUGAUCCGAGUAUGUCCGGUGGAAUACGAUCUGACCACAAUUUAUCAGAAUCCUCCAUUAUUCUGAGAAAAACUUUGCUUAGAUUUUUUAGAGAAAUUUGGCUUAGAUUUGAGAGAUUAAAUUGUGAAAAUUAUAGGUAUUACUGUAAUCGGAAAAGGCUUGUUAUUACCCUAUUUAAACUAGGACUAGUAUUAAUUGUUCCUUAUUAAGCAAAACAAAUUUCCUUUUCCUAAAAUAUUUGAACUAGAACUAGUAUUAAUUGUUCCUUAUUAAGCAAAACAAAUUUCCUUUUCUAACGUAUUUCCAAUUAUUUACGAG
rnacentral:lncRNA from 1 species